GAUGAACGCUGCCGCCUGGCUAAAUACUGCCAAUCGGACGAACGGACGGGAAGCUUGCUUCUCUGGUGUUAACGGCGGGAGGGGGAGGAAAACGGUGAAAACCUACCUUUAAAGAUGGGGUAACCUCGGGAAAACGGGGCUAAUUACGGGUAAUAAUUUUAACCGCCUGGGUUAAAAGGUAAAGGAGGUCUUGGCUGUACCUAAAGGAGGAUCCGCGCUGCAUUAGCUAGUUGGUAAGGUAACGGCUUACCAAGGCAACGAUGCAUAGCCGACCUGAGAGGGUGAUCGGCCACACUGGAACUGAGACACGGUCCAGACUCCUACGGGAGGCAGCAGUAGGGAAUCUUCCGCAAUGGGCGAAAGCCUGACGGAGCAACGCCGCGUGAGUGAUGAAGGUCUUCGGAUCGUAAAACUCUGUUAUUAGGGAAGAACAUAUGUGUAAGUAACUGUGCACAUCUUGACGGUACCUAAUCAGAAAGCCACGGCUAACUACGUG
rnacentral:rRNA from 1 species